rnacentral:pre_miRNA from 1 species
AGGGGAAUAGCUGGGUCAAAUGGUGGUUCCGUUCCCAGCUUUCCGAGGAAUCUCCAUACUGCUUUCCAAAUUGGCCGCACACCAAUUUGCAUUCCCACCAGCAAU